CCUACGGGAGGCAGCAGUAGGGAAUCUUCCACAAUGGGCGAAAGCCUGAUGGAGCAACGCCGCGUGAGUGAUGAAGGCCUUCGGGUUGUAAAACUCUGUCAUUCGGGACGAACCGGAGUCUGAGGAAAUGCAGACUCUCUGACGGUACCGGAGGAGGAAGCCCCGGCUAACUACGUGCCAGCAGCCGCGGUAAUACGUAGGGGGCAAGCGUUGUCCGGAUUCACUGGGCGUAAAGCGCGCGCAGGCGGUGAUGUAAGUCUGAGGUGAAAACCCGAAGCUCAACUUCGGGACUGCCUUGGAUACUGCGUCACUUGAGGAUAGGAGAGGCAAGGGGAAUUCCACGUGUAGCGGUGAAAUGCGUAGAGAUGUGGAGGAACACCUGUGGCGAAGGCGCCUUGCUGGCCUAUUUCUGACGCUGAGGCGCGAAAGCGUGGGGAGCAAACAGGAUUAGAUACCCUGGUAGUCCACGCUGUAAACGAUGAGUGCUAGGUGUAGGUGGGCUCAUACCCAUCUGUGCCGAAGCUAAACGCAUUAAGCACUCCGCCUUGGGGAUUACGGGUUCGCAAGCUUGAAACUUCAAAAGGAUUGACGG
rnacentral:rRNA from 1 species